AAAUGCUACGGUUUGCCAUAUUAUUAAUUUCUGCACUUGUGCUGUGUGAAGCUCAUGUUGGCAGUCGUCAGCAAGAAUGGUGUUUGGGCGACUUUGCUAAAGGUGUUUUGAAUAUGUGUGCGGAAAAAAACAAUGUGGGAAAGGCUGCAAUUGAAGAUUUCUUAAAGGGAAAACUUUCAAACAACAAAAAUGAAAGAUGUUUCCGAGCAUGCUUUUUAAUGGAAUGUGAAUAU
rnacentral:sRNA from 1 species